rnacentral:rRNA from 1 species
CACGAACCGUCCAAACGUUAUUCGGAAUUAUUGGGCUUAAAGAGUGCGUAGGCGGCUCCUUAAGUCGGGUGUGAAAUCCUUCGGCUCAACCGAAGAACUGCGCCCGAUACUGGGGGGCUUGAGGGAGACAGGGGUGAGCGGAACUGAUGGUGGAGCGGUGAAAUGCGUUGAUAUCAUCAGGAACACCGGUGGCGAAAGCGGCUCACUGGGUCUCUUCUGACGCUGAGGCACGAAAGCCAGGGUAGCGAACGGG